UACGUAGGUGGCAAGCGUUGUCCGGAUUUAUUGGGUUUAAAGGGUGCGUAGGCGGCCUUAUAAGUCAGUGCUGAAAUAUCCCGGCUUAACCGGGAGGGUGGCAUUGAUACUGUAGGGCUUGAGUAAAGUUGAGGUUGGCGGAAUUGACGGUGUAGCGGUGAAAUGCUUAGAUAUCGUCAAGAACACCUAUUGCGAAGGCAGCUAACUAAGCUUUAACUGACGCUGAGGCGCGAAAGCUAGGGGAGCGAACGGG
rnacentral:rRNA from 1 species